GGCUUACACUUGAUCUCUGAACUACAGGUAAGUAAACUUGUUGACAAGUUCACAUACUGAUGCU